AAAGACAAUGAAAACAAUUUACUUUAAGAAAACAACAUAACUAUUUGUAUUUGUUUGCACACAACCGUAUAUUUUUGUUAUAGAAAAACAAGCAUUUACAUGGGCGAAAAGAAAAUCUACAAAACAACUGGAUAACGAGAAAAGUAAAAACACAAUAGUGAUACUGACAAAUACAGAAAUUGUGUAAGAGGCAAUCGUCCGGCCUAAGAUACCAUCUUACAAGUAAGCAUUUACUCCAUAACGGCUGCCGAACUCAGUUCACAGGGCACUUCUCUUCGAGCCAUUUCGACCUCACAGUUACCAGGAGAAAAGUAAUCUCUUUGCAACUUUGUCUUGAUAGCUUCAGCAAAUUCUGUUUUCUAUGGAGAUGGUGUCAUCCGAGUAUACAAUUACUCAAUUGGUCUAGGCCGAAGACUUCUGAAGGAUCGUUUUCAAAGUGCUUCUGAAUACACACAGGUAGACUUUCUACAUGCUAUAUUAGACAGGUCUAAGAGGUCGCUAAACGCAUAUACAUUCGGAAGAAAUGCGAAAGGUUAAUUUCAAAAGGAAAGGUUAAUUUCAAGAGAAAGCUUUUUUCGACUUUUAUAGUCCACUUAAAAAAUAUUCUGGAGACCGUCAUACCUCUUAUCGAUCAAUGGUAACAGUACCUUAUCACGAAAAAAUUUCGGAGAGUCGGCGGGACAUUGAAAUUUUUAAAGAAUUCAAAAAGAAACAGCAAUAUUCAAAACGAGCUUUAGUUGCCUCUACACACAGUAGAUGCCUUGCAUCCAUUUUAUAGCUACACCAACCGGCUACAAGUAAAAAUACUACAUAACCUAAUAUGCGGAAUAAAGUGUAGGUGGGUAAUGAGUGCUGUGUGCUGUAGUCAACUAACUGAGAUAACCAUACAGAUUGUUGUUGCGACGACCACUGCAGACGCCGAGGCUGACGAGUGGCAACUGUGAAUAGAUAGUGUGGCAUACAAGAGGCCAUCAUCGUGAAUGACAGACAGUGUUUGACAAGGUUCGUAAGGUGUAAAGGAUGUGACGACUAAAGUGAACCACAUUUUAACGUAGUCCUAACCUACUGACGAGGUAGUCACUUAACAAAUAGAGACUUGUUGUUAUAGUUUUUACAAUUGAAAGUGGGGAAAACAAAAAACAUGAAAUGUGUAUUUAGUCAUGGCGCCUGUCGUUCAUUAGCAAGCAAAAUAAACGCGGGUUUAGCUUGCAUAUAAACAGACAUACAUACACCGUGCACUUGCAGACCAGCCUCUUAUGGCCACAAACGUGUGUUGGCAAUUUGUUUGGGUGUGCGACUGCGGUAAGUAGGCGUUGAAGUGCGCGUGCACUCUGCCUUGACAUUUUAUUUUCUAUUUAAAAUACAAAAACAAAUGAAAAAGCGUUGAGAAAUAAAAUUACAGUAACUGAGGGGCGGUAAAGUGGCCACCGAAGCGGGUUUCCUGUUUGGCUAAGCAAAUUAAACGGGUUUAAAAAUGGCUAAAAUGCAUUAGAUCGUAUAUUAACAGUAUUAUUAAUGUUUUAAAGAUGAGAUAUUUCAAAGAUAAAUAAUAUGUAUAUAUUGGACAAAAAUAAAUCAAAAAUCGCUAGAAACUGCAAAGAUAGAGAGGGCACUCUUACCCCAAUUUCAACAGAUUGACAACGAGUCCUCUGAACUACUUGCUCUUAGGAAAGUUCAUCUCGAUGCCAUGAUAGACGUUCUGACAGGACAUAGUCCAAAAGGCUAGCAUGUAGUGAGGCUACAUAUCUUGACGGACACAAAUUGCCGAAGCUGUAUCCAAGAAGCUUGUAUCGAAGCUACUCAACUCUUCAGCUUUUGUCACACUGAGGUUGAAACAAAUCGGUAGAUACACUUUCGGCGAAACUGGCGAAAUAGCCGGUCUAUUGAUAUUAGCCGUUUUAACAAAAUUGUGGUAGGCUCACAGCGCUUCUGCCAUCUAUAA